AUGGGUCACACCACCCUCGGGACUCUCCAGAUCUCCAGCAGUGGCUCUCGGCCCAAGGCCAGCUCGGCGGAAAAGCCGGGACAGGAGGUCCAGCCACAGAGCAGAGUGAAGGCCACACCCUGGCAGUUAGCACCCAACAGGUGGCACCCCCAGCGCCAUCCUCCACCAGUUCCUCCUCCAACAUGGUCACAAGUGUCCCUUCCCCCGCCCAGCCCAGCCCAAGCUCCUCUCCCCGCGCCCUCCUCCUUUGUUCUUCAUAGAUCUAAACCACAGACCGGACAGCCAGCCCUAAGGCCUCAGGCUGGCCCUGCAGGCCUGCCAGUCCCCAGAGCCAGCACCCCUCCAGGUCCCUGGGGUGGGCCCAGAGGGCUGGGACAGGGGUGGCAAGUAAGAGGCACAAGAGCCACAGAGAGGCCCCGUCCCACCCUGGCCAUGCCUGGCACCUGCUGGAUGACUGAGCCCACGGGGAGGGGCCACAGCUGCUCACCCCCAGACAGACGGGGAGCUAUGAGCUCAAGAAUUCCAGGAGGAAAACGGGGUCCAAAGACCCAGACUCCAGGCCCACUCAGGCAUAUUCACAGACACGCGCCCCUGACGCCUUCUAAUUACGCGCCUUCUAAUUACGCAAACCAGCACUUAGCCCGUCUGGCCGCCGCGUCUCUGCUUACGGCAGCUCCCUCGGCCCCACGCUCCGCCAGACUGAGCCCCCUGGACCUGCCCGGGCGGGCGGCAGCCCCGGCCCCGCCCCCGCCCCCUGGGGGACCCCGCCACUCCGCGUCCCCUCCGCGCCCCCUCCCCGCCUCCAGCACCUAUGCCCUGAACCCUGCAAACCCGACUGAAAAGCAAGUUCGGAUGGAGCCCCGCAGCGGGGCGGGGGUCUGUGAGGCUCCAUGCCCACCCCUCCGCCUUCCGAAGGCAGGGCAGCCGGUGCCCUUCCUAAACCCUCCCCGCCGGCCCCAGGGGCAGAGAAGGACGUCAGCCCAAAGGCCAUUCCUCCGGGUACCUGCCCCAUGGCCACCAGUGCCCCGAGGGCCCGGCGCCCCCGCUGCAGCUCACGGGGCCUCAGUUUCCUCAUCCGCAGGAUGGGGGCUCAGCAAGGCUGCCGCGAGGCUAAGUCAGGUGAGGAGCCCGACGACGCAGGUCACGUGA
rnacentral:lncRNA from 1 species